rnacentral:rRNA from 1 species
CAGUCGCCGCGGUAAUACGGAGGGCGCGAGCGUUACCCGGAUUUACUGGGCGUAAAGGGCGUGUAGGCGGCCUGGGGCGUCCCAUGUGAAAGGCCACGGCUCAACCGUGGAGGAGCGUGGGAUACGCUCAGGCUAGAGGGUGGGAGAGGGUGGUGGAAUUCCCGGAGUAGCGGUGAAAUGCACAGAUACCGGGAGGAACGCCGAUGGCGAAGGCAGCCACCUGGUCCACUUCUGACGCUGAGGCGCGAAAGCGUGGGGAGCAAACCGGAUUAGAUACCCCAGUAGUCCCUGUCUCUUAUAA